GACGAACGCUGGCGGCGUGCUUAACACAUGCAAGUGGAGCGACGAACCAGGGCUUGCCCUGGGGCAGAGCCGCGAACGGGUGAGUAACACGUGGGUAACGUGCCCCGAUGAUCGGGACGAACCCGGGAAACCCGGGCGUAAUACCGAAUGUGCUCCCCUCCACACUAGUGAGGGAGUGGAAAGGAAGACUUCGGCCUCCGCAUCGGGA
rnacentral:rRNA from 1 species